CUGAUUUCUCAGACCCAUAUAGAAGAAAUAAAGUAGAUGUUUAGGCUGGGCAUGGUGGCUCUCGCCUGUAAUCCCAGCACUUUGGGAGGCCAAGGUGGGUGGCCAAGGUGAGCUCAGGAUUUUAAGGCCAGCCUGGGCAACAUGGCAAAACGUUGUCUCUACUAAAAAUACAAAAAAUUAGCCGGGCGUGGUGGUGCAUGUCUGUAAUCCCAACUACUCGGGAGGCUGAGGCAGGAGACUCACUUGAACCUGAGAGGCAGAGGUGGCAGUGAGCCGAGAUCACGCCACAGCACUCCAGCCUGGGCGACAGAGCGAGACUCUGUCUCAAAAAAAUAAAGUAGAUGUUUAUGUUCAUGUGUUUCUUUCCACAGGCUUUGGAUGAAGAGUAUUUAAAAGUAGAUGCCCAAUUUGGAGGCAUUGAUCAGAGAAAGAUUUUCACCUUUGCAGAGAAGAUGAGAACACUGAGGAUAGAAGAUAAGAAGUUGUCCAAUAUCACACAUACCUCCCUGCACUUGGCUAUUCAAAACGGGUCCAUCUGAUGAAUCCUAUGGUUCCAGGAUUAACAGGCAGCAAAAUGAGCUCUUCAGAAGAGGAGUCCAAGAUUGAUCUCCUUGAUCGGAAGGAGGAUGUGAAGAAAAAACUGAAGAAGGCCUUCUGUGAGCCAGGAAAUGUGGAGAACAAUGGGGUUCUGUCCUUCAUCAAGCAUGUCCUUUUUCCCCUUAAGUCCG
rnacentral:lncRNA from 10 species